UACGUAGGUGGCGAGCGUUGUCCGGAUUUAUUGGGUUUAAAGGGUGCGUAGGCGGUCCUAUAAGUCAGUGGUGAAAUAUCGCAGCUCAACUGUGAGGGUGCCAUUGAUACUGUAGGACUUGAGUGAAUUUGAGGUAGGCGGAAUUGACGGUGUAGCGGUGAAAUGCUUAGAUAUCGUCAAGAACACCGAUAGUGAAGACAGCUUACCAAGCUUCAACUGACGCUGAGGCACGAAAGUGUGGGGAGCAAACAGG
rnacentral:rRNA from 1 species